rnacentral:rRNA from 1 species
UAUUGGACAAUGGAGGCAACUCUGAUCCAGCCAUGCCGCGUGAAGGAAUAAGGCCCUAUGGGUUGUAAACUUCUUUUAGACGGGACAAAACCCCUUUACGUGUAAAGGGUUGAUGGUACUGUCAGAAUAAGCAUCGGCUAACUUCGUGCCAGCAGCCGCGGUAAUACGAAGGAUGCAAGCGUUAUCCGGAAUUAUUGGGUUUAAAGGGUGCGUAGGCGGACUAAUAAGUCAGUGGUGAAAGCCUGCAGCUUAACUGCAGAAUUGCCAUUGNUACUGUUAGUCUUGAGUACAGUUGAGGUAGGCGGAAUGUGUCAUGUAGCGGUGAAAUGCUUAGAUAUGACACAGAACACCGAUUGCGAAGGCAGCUUGCUAAGCUGUAACUGACGCUGAGGCACGAAAGCGUGGGGAGCAAACA